ACUUAUAUAGUAUAUCUAUUAUACUUGACUUCCAAUCAAGAGAACUAAUGAAACUUUGGUAUAAGUA
rnacentral:tRNA from 1 species